rnacentral:sRNA from 1 species
GUCAGGUGUGGUGGUGCACACCUGUAAUCCUAGGGGCUUGGGAGGCUGAGGCAGGAGGUUUGCAAGUUCAAAGCCAGCCCCAGCAACUUAGUGAGGCCCUAAGCAACUUAGUGAGACCCUGACUCUA